UGCAACUCUUUCUUUAUUCCAAUAUACUCUCUGUUUUGAUCUGUUCUACUGCUCAUUGCUCUCUGUUUUGAUCUGUUCUACUACUCACUGCUCAAGCUCGUCUCUCAUGUUCUCCUUUCCCGAGCGACUAGCAUAGAUAACAUCACCCUACAAGAUGUUGUUUAUGAAGAACACAAAACCCAAAUGGAGGAAAGGUCUACAUAGGAAAGUGUUUACGGAAGGAAAGGUCUACAUAGGAAAGUGUUUACGGAAGGAAAGGUCUACAUGGGAAGGUGUUUGAGGACGGAGAGUAAUGAUGGCGGGACAGAGAAGUCGAUAUGGACCUUGAGGAAAUGUGCCGUACUUUGAUUUUGAGUAUUAAGAUGUGUGAACGAAUGCUUGUAAGAGUAAUUAUAUGAUGUAAUAAGUGUAGUGUCGUGUGACGGACGUAUUGGGACGGCUGGUAAAGAUGUGAAGUGUCUAGAUGAGAUAGUGAGGAUGUGGAUGGUAUAGGUUGAAUGUGGGUGUAUAUAUGUGAAGUGUCUAGAUGAGAUAGUUGAGAUAGAUGUGAAGUGUCUAGAUGGUAUAGGUAGAAUGUGGGUGUAUAUAUAGAUGAGUUGAAUAUCAGAAUAUGUAUUGUAUAGGAUUUAGAUGAAUGUGUAGGAUGUGAUGUGGAUGUUAUAGGAUAUGUGGAAGGUGUAGGAUAUAUGGUUGUGUGUGGAUGAUACGGAUGUGUGUCAUAUUCUACUAUCGCAAAGAUUUACUGUUAUUGUGUUCAGGUACUCGGGUCUGUCCAGUUUUAUUAUAUAUUUUCCGGUCUGUCCAAUUCUAAAAUGUUUAUAAUUUUGCUUUCUACUCAAAAACUUCUCCAUAAUUCUAAUGAUCAGAUUUUGUA